GAGCACGAUGACAGCAGUUAGAGCGAACCUAGGUUGCCUCUAGUUUGCCUCUAGGUGAAAAAAAAUACGGUAUGAGUGUAGUGUAGGCUGCUGCUGUCGUCGAAAAAAAAAACACGAGACAUAUGGACCCAUACGAUUCCGCAAGAAAACCUUUUUCUUUGGUCAGGAAACCAAUAAAUGGCCAUAACACAAAUGAAAACUAAAAGCCCCGAGGCCGUAAACAAUACAAGCGAUGAAGGUAAGUAAAGAAAACUUUUUGUUAAACGAAAAUUUUCACUUUUUUUCUACCCUCCGCACAGCUCGACAAAGUACGACAGAUGCAAGGGAAAACUCCACCAUCCGGCCGGACAAACACCGGAGCAGAAUCUACAAACAGGAUGAACACUGGGACAGAACAACCAGCACCACUUUAUCAACAGCAGCAGCAAUAAACAUCACUCUGGCGGAAGAAAACAUCAUCAGUCUGCCAGUUCCUCAGCGACGAUUACAAUCAGACACCAUUCAGUCACCACCGAUCGUACCGCUUACGCCAACAUCACCACCAGAGGCAACAUCAGCAUAUCCAACAUCGGAUAUCCGCCGGAAGCGUUCCAUCGCAGCACUACCUGCUUUCCGGUGGAAGAGAUCAUCAACGCAGCAGCAUCUUCCUUUUCAUCUUCACCACAAGAAGUGAACCAGCUCAGCAGCAGCCGCGGCCGCGGAAUAAGCAUUUCUUCUCCCAAAACGGAAGCGUACCAGGCGACGGAAGUGGCUCAGGUGGGUCACAAUGGAACAGAGUGGAAUUGAUGUUGGUUCUAGUGUUUUCAUUAUGACCAAAUCUGUCCAACCCAUCAGUGAACAGAUGCAACAGCCUGCCUACCUCAUGGUGGUAAAAUAGUGAUCUGAUAAGUUAAGCUUAGAUUUAUUAAGAACUUUUUUAUUAUAGGAAAAAGGACGAUAAACCUGAUUUCUGGAAGUGAGCGCUUACAAGAAUAUCGACGCCGCAAUCGAAUAUGUUCCAACCGCCCGCGGAAGAGGCCUGCGGUGAUAUGGUGACAUCAUAGAAUCUACAGCUCAGGAGAAUUUAAAUGACCGGGACCAAAUAAAUGUGGUCAACUAGUAAUUUAUCGAAAUAAGGCAGAGUUCCAUCGGGCUCUCGUAAUCCACCGGCUGAUCAAAAUUGUUCUGCCUACGUUUGAAAUAUGGUACACAAAGCCUUACAAACAACAAUGACAGCAUCCUUAUAACCAAUUCCAACAAUCUGGUGGUUAUCAUGAAGUACUUAGACCAAGUAUCAUUAUAUACAAGAUUGAAUUUUCUGAUAACAUCCAGUGUUUGCAUCACUUUUUCCGGAUACCGAACAACCUUGUCAAAACCUUCCAGCUGCAAGACGGAAACGCUAUUCCAUAGCCCUAUCAACAAACGGAUGCAGUUAUAACCCACGGCUCUGCUAUCCUUUCUCCUAGCAGCUCAAAUUGACAAUAGUACGAAAUGCCCCAAUGGAGCAAAAAGGCUGCCUUAUUAAAAGGAUUUACGACGAGUCACCACUGCAAUCCUACUGGAGACCAUGAAACCAAUAUAAGGCCAGAUUGGAUUCAAAACGAUUUGCAUACAAAAUACAAAUCAGAUAGACACCAUAAGA